rnacentral:rRNA from 1 species
UACCAGCACCCCGAGUGGUCGGGACGUUUAUUGGGCCUAAAGCAUCCGUAGCCGGUUCUACAAGUCUUCCGUUAAAUCCAACUGCUUAACAGGUGGGCUGCGGAAGAUACUAUAGAGCUAGGAGGCGGGAGAGGCAAGCGGUACUCGAUGGGUAGGGGUAAAAUCCGUUGAUCCAUUGAAGACCACCAGUGGCGAAGGCGGCUUGCCAAUACGCGCUCGACGGUGAGGGAUGAAAGCUGGGGGGAGCAAACCGG